rnacentral:rRNA from 1 species
GAUGAACGCUGGCGGCGUGCCUAAUACAUGCAAGUCGAGCGAACAGACGAGGAGCUUGCUCCUCUGACGUUAGCGGCGGACGGGUGAGUAACACGUGGAUAACGUACCUAUAUGACGGGGAUAACUUCGGGAAACCGGCGCUAAUACCGGAGAAUAUAUUGCACCGCGUGGUUCGAUAGUGAAAGACGGUUUUGCUGUCACUUAUAGAUGGUUCCGCGCCGCAUUAGCUAGUUGGUAAGGUAACGGCUUACCAAGGCAACGAGGCGUAGCCGACCUGAGAGGGUGAUCGGCCACACUGGAACUGAGACGCGGUCCAGGCGCCUACGGGAGGCAGCAGUAGGGAAUCGUCCGCAAUGGGCGAAAGCCUGACGGAGCAACGCCGCGUGAGUGAUGAAGGUCUUCGGAUCGUAAAACUCUGUUAUGAGGGAAGAACAAAUGUGUAAGUAACUAUGCACGUCUUGACGGUACCUAAUAAGAAAGCAACGGCUAACUACGUG